rnacentral:rRNA from 1 species
GGGUACGAUCAUACUAGUGUUAAUGCACCGGAUCCCAUCGGAACUCCACAGUUAAGCGCACUUUGGCUAGAGUAGUACUAGGAUGGGUGACCUCCUGAGAAGUCCUAGUGUUGCACCCU